UUCCUACGGGAGGCAGCAGUAGGGAAAUCUUCCGCAAUGGACGAAAGUCUGACGGAGCAACGCCGCAUGAGUGAUGAAGGUUUUCGGAUCGUAAAACUCUGUUGUUAGGGAAGAACAAGUGCCGGAGUAACUGCCGGUACCUUGACGGCACCUAACCAGAAAGCCACGGCUAACUACGUGCCAGCAGCCGCGGUAAUACGUAGGUGGCAAGCGUUGUCCGGAAUUAUUGGGCGUAAAGCGCGCGCAGGCGGUUCCUUAAGUCUGAUGUGAAAGCCCCCGGCUCAACCGGGGAGGGUCAUUGGAAACUGGGGAACUUGAGUGCAGAAGAGAAGAGUGGAAUUCCACGUGUAGCGGUGAAAUGCGUAGAGAUGUGGAGGAACACCAGUGGCGAAGGCGACUCUUUGGUCUGUAACUGACGCUGAGGCGCGAAAGCGUGGGGAGCAAACAGGAUUAGAUACCCUGGUAGUCCACGCCGUAAACGAUGAUUGCUAGUUGUCGGGAUGCAUGCAUUUCGGUGACGCAGCUAACGCAUUAAGCAAUCCGCCUGGGGAGUACGGUCGCAAGAUUAAAACUCAAAGGAAUUGACGGA
rnacentral:rRNA from 1 species